CGGUGUAGCUCAGUGGCAGAGUAUGUGCCUAGUAUGUAUAAGGCCCUACCUGGGUUCGAUCUCCAGCACUG
rnacentral:tRNA from 1 species